AUGAGGUGUUUUCCCUGUCGUUACCCCCCCCCCCCCCCACCGGUUUUAAAGAGUAGUCUGGAUGAGGUGUUUUUCCUGUCGUUACCCCCCCAGGUUUUAAAGAGUAGUCUGGAUGAGGUGUUUUCCCUGUCGUUACCCCCCCCAGGUUUUAAAAGUAUUCUGGAUAGGUGUUUUCCCUGUCGUUACCCACCCCUACCCCCCCCCCCCCCCCCAGGUUUUAAAGCAGUAGUCUGGAUGAGAGGUUUUUUGUUUUCCUGUCGUUACCCACCUCAGGUUUAAAGAUAGUCUGGAUGAGGUGUUUUCCUGUCGUACCCCCCCGGUUUUAAAUAGUAGUCUGGAUGAGGUGUUUCUCUGUCGUUACCCCCCCAGGUUUUAAAGAGUAGUCUGAUGAGGUGUGCGUGCCUCACUGUAAUGCAGCAAGCCAAAGCUAACAGACAAUCAUCUCUCCCAGCCUCUGGUUCACAUACAUAACACAAGGGGACUUCACACACGGUCAAUAAAAACCAAUGAGCUGACACCCGCUCGUCAUGAGGUUAUACGGGGGUCUGGUAGAACCAGGCUGUAGAGGGGUCUGUGAAUAGCCAGCUGGUCUGUGAUAGUACGGCUAGGGGUCUGGUGAAUAGACAGGCUGUAGAGGGGUCUGUGAGAGACAGCUUACUGUGAAUAGAUAGCUGAGGGGUCUGGUGAUAGACUUGCUGUAGAGGGGGUCUGGUGAAUAGACCAGCCUGUAAGGGUCUUGAAUAGACCGCUGUAGAGGGGUCUGGUGAAUAGACCAGGUGUAGAGGGGUCUGGUGAAUAGACCGGCUGUAAGAGGGGGUCUGGUAAUAGACCUGCUGUAAGGGGCUGUUGAAUAGACCAGCUGUAGAGGGGUCCUGGUGAAUAGACCAGGCUGUAAGGGGGUCUGGUGAAUAGACUAGGCUGUUGAAGGGGUCUGGUGAAUAGACCGAGGCUGUAGCAGGGGUCUGGUGAAUAGACCAGGCUGUAGAGGGGGUCGGUGAUAGACUAGCUGUAGAGGGGUCUGGGAAUAGACCAUUCUGUAGAGGGGGUCUGGGUGAUAGACCAG
rnacentral:lncRNA from 1 species